GCCAUUUUGGGAAGGCCUCACUCCCUCUUCCCUCUUGAGAUGGAGAAUUUACAGGCAAAGGCCAGUCUAUAUCUUUCUACUGUGCAAUAACCUGAAAAGUGAUACACAUUUCAACAGGUUUUAAGGGGCCUCAGUAAAUAACAUGGAACAUGACUCAAGAAAGCACUGUUACCUAAGCUCUGUGAAUAGACUUGCAAGAAAGAUGAUUCCCACUAUCACUAGACAAGUGAUUCUGUGAGGCUCAAAUCACUGAACCUGCUAUGCUCAGAGGCCAGCUUUAUUGAUCCUCAUCCUGCGAGAAUAGAUAGUUUAAAGAAUGACUUUUCUUCAGAUCAACUGGAUAAAAUAAUACCUGUAUUCCUCCUGGGUGAAGAGUGGAAUUUCUGAUGGCUGUAAAACUACAACUUUCACAAGGGCAGUGCUGGACAUUACAGGAUCUCCAUCAUCAUAAGCAAUUACAGCCAACUGUGAAUAAAUAAACAAUGAAGCAAUA